UUAAUGAAUAUAAGAGUUUUACACAAUGAGCUACAAGGUUAAUGGCAGCGAAAAAAGCUCUAUCUAAGGCAGCAUGGUCUUGAUGCAGCUCCAAUCCACAGGGAUCUGACUCGGUUACGCUCCUAGACCGCAAAUGCUCUGUCUCCUUAGCGACGAACGACGGAUCCUUAUGUGAACCUGGCCACAUUAAAAGUCGCUGAGUACUUUUGAAUGUACUCGCAAGCGAACCAAACUAACAUAUACACCAAGCAAAGUAAUCCAUGGCAUUCAAGCAGGUAUUUGUUAUUAGAGCAAUAUUAAUCAUCAUGACAUAGCCUACCUAUCUAGCAAGGUUAAUUAUCAAGGUAUAACAGGGUUAUCUAAAUAGAUAACUUCUGAAGUAAAUGCUAUAAGGUAAAGCAUAUUAGGUAAAUGAUUUAUACUCCGACUAUUCUCAUGAUCCAGUCUGAAUCUGAUUCAAAUCCAACCCUACUGAUGUGGUCAUCCAACCACUCAUCUCAUAGCCAUCUCAUGGCUAACAUGUCAUAUACCGGACAUCUUCCGAUGUCUACACCAGACGAGUUCUUCCAUCAUUAUCAUCACUCUUACGGUUGAUCACCUACUGAGGUCUGGUCGUGCUGUCCAAUACCAUGGACUCGGCUAUUCGAAUAGAUUUUACACUCUGCAGAGGUUGCACACUUUACCCAGACUAUGGAGCACUCACCUCGAGAUCCCAAUCGGGUGGACCAGCAUUACUCGAACAAAACUUGCCUGAACCGUGACCCUCUCAUCAUAUCCCCGGAAACCACUCCCUUCCGGAGUCUUUCCCUCGGUGGACCUGUGUCCUCAUGACACCUACCACCAUCGUGGCCAAACAAAACUGUCCCAACCGGGGACGGGACCAACUCAACUUAACUGGGCUCACAGGGUUAUCAUCACCUACCUGAUCAGGGUAGCACGCAUGCAUAACCCCCCCCCCCUCUUUGGAGGUACCGGUGAGAGCGAUCACGUGAACAGCUCAAGUCACGGCCGUCCCAUAUCGGCAAAUGUGGUUGCACGAAAAAGCCCAGACAGGUGACUCGAGAUCAACCCAUUAGGUUUGGCUUAAACAACAUAUUUAUCAAGCAUGGUUGUUGUCAACAAUGACUUAACAUGAUGAUGAUUAUGCAUGAAAUAACAACGGUAGAAACACCACAACCUGUUUCUAUAUAAUGAGUCAUUAAUAAGACAUUAUGUAAAUGACAAGUUAUUACUUGAUGAUUUCUAACUGUAAAUUAGACCCUCGGAACCCUCGCAUAAAACCAACAAAUAAAUCGGUAGCCACCAGAACGGCUAUGACAACACAGAUCUGGGACCUUACCGGAAUAACUCAACCGCGGCUCAAGAUGGCUGGAAAGCAGCUCAGAGCAUGAUGUGGUGUUGAUAAUAAGAAUGUAGCAGUUCCCUAAGACGACCGAAGAACAGCUUAGAGCAUAGGGUCACUGCCUCGGAAAGAAAUUCAACAGCCCCGUGACGGCUGAAAAACAGCUCAGAACACGGGUCAGCGGCUGACAAGAGAAAUAUAAAGUUGGCACCCACCCCGGACGACCGAAAACAGCUCAGAAUCAAGCGUGGUUCCAUUAUUGAAGAAAAUGCGAGCAAGGGUUCGUCAGCAUCUCAUACAGAACAUUACUAUACACUCACACAUAAGCAUAUUGAAAUAAUAUGCAAGAACAUCGCAGAGCAAAGCUUUAGGGCAUAUAUCACAUGGUCGGCUUGCCUGGGGUUGAAGAAUACUCCCGGAAGAGGUGCUGAGAGUCCGCGGAAAGGAUCGCCAGACAUCGCUCUCUCUUGAAGGGGG
rnacentral:lncRNA from 1 species